rnacentral:lncRNA from 1 species
CACUGUACAGCGAGGGUGUCAGGUUAUCCUUACAUGUAUACAUUACAAUUACAUUUUUUCCCCCACCCUUUCUUCUGUUGCAACAUGAGUAUCUAGACAAAGUUCUCAAUGCUAUUCAGCAGGAUCUCCUUGUAAAGCUAUUCUAGGUUGUGUCUGAUAAGCCCAAGCUCCCGAUCCCUCCCACUCCCUCCCCCUCCCAUCAGGCAGCCACAAGUCUCUUCUCCAAGUCCAUGAUUUUCUUUUCUGAGGAGAUGCUCAUUUGUGCUGGAUAUUAGAUUCCAGUUAUAAGUGAUAUCAUAUGGUAUUUGUCUUUGUCUUUCUGAGACUUUAGUGGCUGAACCAGGGUUGCAGGGUGCUGCUUUUAUGACCAAAGGCAUAAUGAGCAGCUGAAUAUGAAGCAUCGUAGACUAAGGGCCUAUAUGAGCUCUGUGUGCAGCCAGCAACUGAUGCACUAAUGCUUUGCAGUCCAGAAGUCCAUGGACACUUUAUGUUCCAGAGGUCCAAAGGAAAUUUAUUGACAUCAUGGUUGAUUCAGUUACUCCAAGAGGUAUGAGAGGAGAUUCCUAAAGCUAAGGUGAAGGAGUGUCUAGAGGUAUUAAAGAGAGUGCCUACUGUAUUGUGAUUUGGAUGGAUUCUAAGGCCUUUUCUAGUAAAGUACUCCAAUCAAAGUGGAUGAUUAGCAAGUAGCUGCAUAAAUGGACUCUAGUAAAAUUUAUAAAUUGAGACAGUAUUAACCUUCAGAACAUAAAAAGGCCUAAAAUAUGUCCAGCUCAUGUUAACUUUGCUGGUGCUGAGCAGGUCAAUAUUUGUUUCUUGACAGAGUCAGCGACAGAGUAACCCUUGACUGAUCAAAUAAUUUUUAGGAAUUUAGCCUAAAUGGUGGGGCCUUGUACUAUGGGAGGGCCAAUGGCCCACCCCCUUUUGGUAAAGGUUCUUUGUGAGUUUUUGUAUACCCUGAAUGACUUUGUCCAGUGAAUCUCUUUGGAGAAUGUCAUUGAUAUGAUGUCAUACCUGUGCUCCUGGAGGAAGUUGAAUGAGGUUAAUUCUUUUCUAUGAAGAUUGUGUGAGAUGGCAGGGAAGUUGAGGUACCCCAGGGUAGUUAGGUAAAAGUGCAUUCUGUUUCUUUGAACUUAAAGCAAACUACAGCCAAGAGGUUGUUGAAACAGGCAAUGAACAGAACAUAUCAGCCAAAUCUGUAAUUAUAAAGUGUUCAUUAGUUUCUGAUUGGAAAGAGUCAGGAAUUUCAAUAGUAUUAAAAUAAGUGACUUAGUGGGGAACUCAUGAUCUAAAGAUUGCUGAAAUCUACAAGGAGGCUCCAUUCAUUUUUUUCCAAGUUUAAGAGCAGGCCUGGUUAUGCUGCUAAAUUGAGACAUGGUCAGGGGAAAUCAAUCCUGAUAAAAAUAAGUUUUGUAUAAUGGGUUUCAAUCCUUGAAGGCCAGUUUUGAUUUAUAUGAAUCAUGUUAGAUAUUUUAAUUGGAUGGAAACAGGGGGAAGUCCAUGGCAGAUCCCAUUUGUGUAGAGCUGAUUGUUAAGUGUCAAGACUUAACAAUUUAAAUGUAUUACUCAUGGGUCAGAAUGAUCAUGCCCACCAUGGGAUAUUUUAGGGCCAUAUGUACUAUGAUCACAGGGUUUUUUCGGCAAAGCAGUAGCUACUUUGUAGUAGUAGCAGUUAAGUAAGUAGUAGUAGUUAAGAUAAGACUUUUAUGUUUGGUAAUUUCUCAGAGAGAAUAGGGGGGUUACCUUAAUUAAAUAUGGUGAAAUCCUAGAUAUGAAUGUAGCUUGAAUCUCAAGAAUCAAUUAAAAUUGUUACAAAGAAUAUCAGUUUUUCCUCUGAGUACUCUGUCAAAUGGGGGCCUAUAUCUGGUUUAGACACAUAACCAGUAGUCACAGAGUGAGAGUUGUCUAGCAUCAGGCAUGGCUUACAUUGUAAUUGAGACAUAUGACUCAAUCUGUGACAUAAAGGUAAUCUGGGUCAUGACACUUGACUCAGGGCUACGUUAAGGAGGGCCAAGUCUCAUACUCUUUUCCUUAAUGGUCAGUUAUUGAAAUUUCCAACAUGGUUCAUUAAUCUAUAAGAGGCUCAAUAGGACUCAGAAAAUCGAGCACAGAGAGGCACAGCUAAAAGAGCAUGCUCAUCAGCAGGCAGCAAACCAAAGCAAAAGAACAAUGACAGCUAGUUAUAGUGAUUAUUGCCUUGACAAACUUCUUAUAGUGCCAGCUGUUGUAACCAACUCACAAAGAUGGGCUGGACACCCCACACAGCAUUUGUUUAAUGUAUUGAAACUAAUAAUGCCAAACACACACACAGACACACACACAUACACACACACACACCCCAAGAGGGUAUGAAAAUUUUUCUUACUUAUAUAGCAAGGCUUUCUGGGGUGAGAGCAUGAUAAUGUCCCAAGCUGGUCUAAAAGAAGAUUGGUUCUCCUUUAUGAUUAGGGAGUAGAGCUGGGUGAGGGUUCUUAUACAAAGGCCAGGGAUCACAUGCUUUGAACAUCCUAUCAGCACAAAAAGAGAGAGCACCCAGACUUCCUUUAUCAACCUCACCAAGUGCUUAGGAGAAGCAGUAGGAUUUGAAAGCUGUCAAGAACCAAACAUCAAAAAUGGAGUCAGUCUUUAUUACAACUCCAAACGGUCCCUGUGGUCUCUGAUUAUUAUUCAGAUUCCUUGUGAAAGGACAUUAUGGUAGUAUUAAAUACCUUUUGGGAAUAAGGUAGGUAAAGUGCAUGCCUAUAUAGCAUUAAUAGGAAUAUAUGACAAAGGCCCACAUUUAAAGUUGAGAAACUAUUACAAUGAAUGUGGGAAACAUUAAAUGAGACAGACUAAAUGAGAAUUGUAUGUAAAGGAGAAUGUAACAAUUUUGAUAAUAAUAUGAAAUGAUAUACACAUGUAAUUAAAGUUUCAAGUUCCUUUAUAAAGAAUUAUUUUAUGGUUGUAGCAAGCUGCAUAUGAUAUUACCUUUCAAUGGUCAUGUAAUCAGAUUUCAUUCUGAAUAGCCUAAUUUAUCUGCUUAAAUUAUCACACAUUAAAAUUGAAUUUAAAUAAUUUAGUAUUGAAUAUGUAUAAACAUUAAGAGAGAAAAGAGUAGCUAUUUAUUACACCGCCAAGAAAUUGAAGCCAGCUGAAAUUCUAAAAACCAAGCAAACUCUAAAAUGACCAAAAUGACAAUAUUAAAGAUAGGACUAGAAAUGUACUUUUUUAACCUAAGAUUUAGCUAUCAAUUUUACAUACAGCCUAUUAAUCCCCUCUAAACAUCUCAGAUAGACAUGGGUCAUGCUUUGCAUUAAUAGCUUAAAUAAUGUGAUCAUUCAUAACUGUCUUACCAGCUAAGUUAGGUGUUAAAUGCCAUUUAUAGUAAAUAAUAUUUUCUGAAAAAAAAAUGCAUUACAGAUUUCCCUUUUUAUUAAGAGGAAAAUAAGUACUUUAACCUAAAUGUCUGUAUGUCUGAGUCUUUGAGGACAGCAGAAAGAAAAACUCAUAUUCUGCAUAAAUUCUGUGAUGUGUCUUUGUAAUCACACCGAAUUCUAUAUAUGAUUUUAAAUAAUUACAAAUUUAUUAUUUGACUAUUUCAUUAAUUAUGAUUAUAUUAUUUUGACUGUAUUAAUUUCAAUUUCAAAAACAUUUUAGUAUAUGCUUUUGUAAAUGUUUUCUUUUUGCUUCUAAAGAGAAAAUUAUAAAGGUAAGAGUUAGAAAAUCUGUGAUGAAAAUUUGUAAGCUAUUUAUUGAAAUAGAGUCUUUUUUUUUGAGGGAAGCCUAGAUAUUGCAAUGCUAGAGAAGCUUCAGCGUAUAUUUAAAAAUUAAAUAUCCAAGGUAUCAUUUAAGACAGAUUUAUAAAGCUCUAAUUAAAUAACUUGCUUAGGAUUAAGAGCUAAUUAAUUGUAAAAUCAAACUUCAGCCCUCAAAGCAGUAAUUCUAAGAUGCCAUUGUAAUCAAGAGACUGAUGAAUACUAACCUUUGAAGAUAAAAGACACAAUAUCUACUAGAAAAAAGUAAACAGUUUAAUUAGAAAUGUGAAUUUUUCCAUGCAAUUGGUGACCAAUAUAAAAUAAUGAAAAAUAAGCUUUCAUAGAUAAAAGCCACAGUACAUUAAAUAUGGUCCGCACAAGAAAUACAUUGGACACAAAGCCUUAGGGCCAGUUUUAUCUCUAAAGAAAUAUCUUCGGAGUCCCCAUCAUGGCUCAGUGGUUAAUGAAUCCGACAGGAAUGAUGAGGUUCUGGGUUCCAUCCCUGGCCUUGUUCAGUGGGUUAAGGAUCUGGCAUUGCCGUGAGCUGUGGUGUAGGUCACAGACACAGCUCAGAUCCUGUGUUGCUGUGGCUCUGGCGUAGGCUGGCAGCUGCAGCUCCUAUUAGACCCCUAACCUGGGAACCUCCAUAUGCCCAGGUGUGGCCUUAGAAAAGACCAAAAAAAAAAAAAGAAAAAGUAAUAUCAUCAAUUUUGUGUCGUCAGAUUAUUUCACUGUGUUUUCUAAAGUUUAUAUGAAACAUUCUUUCUAAUAAAAUAAUAAAUAAGCACUAUUUUUCAUAUGAUUUCAUGUUUACUAUUUGUAUCAGGAGAACAGUUUUGGUUUCAGUUGACAAAAUAUGUGGCCAAUGGUGGCGUGAAAUAUAAGACAUUUAUUGCUAAAUUAACAAUUAUCAUUAAACUAGUAUUUAUCCAGCUGUUAAACAGUAUAUUUAAGGAAUUGAGAUCUUUCUAUAUUACUGCCCUACUGUCCUAAACAUGUUGAUUUGUCUUUCAGUUUUACAAAAUGAUAGCCACUGCUCCACAUGUACAUUAAAGGCAGUAUUAAAAGGAAAGGAGUAAUGCCAGCUAGAUUUUGAAAUGUUUUAUCAAUUAAGCAAAAGUUUUCUCAAAAUUCUAUGACCCGUUAGACUUCCUAUGAUAACUUAUUGGUUAUAUCCAGCACACAAGGCCAUCUUUAACUCUAGAAGGUGAGAAAGCCCCAAUAGUUGGAAGUAGCAAGAGAGAACUAGUUUGCAAAUUAAGUCGUGCUAUUUAACCCAUGGGAUCAGCCACCAGUUGUUUCAUAAGAAACUGUGAUAAGAAAGAACAUACCAAAUUCUGAGAAAGGAAUAUAUUUAAGUUAGUACAUUGGGAUUAUGUUUUUCAUAUAUACAUAACAUAUAUAUCUUAUGAAAAUUUUACUUAUGUGAAUCAUUGCUAAAAGUGAACAUGUGAAAAACAGAAAAAAUCCAGUUUCUGCACUGCAGGGCCAUACACCACUGCAUGGAAUAGCAACUCUAAUGAAGGUGCUGCCUCUGUGUAACUUUUCUUGAGUUAAAAGCCAAAACACUUUGACUUCAUUGUUCAGGCAAUAUGUCUAUUGGGUUUUGAGGUUUGAAAUUAUCAUUACUCUUCCUUUCAUAUAGAUUGUGAAUAAAGUGAGAAAUAGAUACAUUUCAAAUUAAGAUGGUUGUAUCAGCUUUGUGAAUGGUAAAUCUGGACUGAAUAAUAUAACCUUCGUCAGGAGCUGAAUUUUAGUCUUCCUCCUAUUUCCCCAAUUACAAUCUACUCGUGUUCAUGGAGGAUUUAAAUUUUAUUAAAACUCAGUGUAGUUAAGAGAGAAAGAGAGAAGGCUCAGGGAGAAAGGGUGACAGAGAGAGGGAGGGGGAACUCCCUGUCUUCAUUAAGAUAUUUGCUGUCGUGGAGGUUCUGAUGCAUGUGAAGAGAUCUUUCUUUGUUAUUUAAGCAAUUCCUCAGUAUGUGUUUUUGUUAAGAGCUUUUAUCCUACCACAAAUACCUACCCAGAUAUUUGCUUUCCAAAUAACCUUGUGUCUGAGUGUAGAGGUCCUACACUCCUCUAACCAUAAGCCUCUCUUCCAGGCACUGAAUUGGGAACUACAGAAACAUGAACUGUGUAACAUCCAUGAUUGCAGUGUCUGUGGCAACAGCAAAUCCUUUUUUUCUGGGAUAAGGAUGGCAGUGGUACCAGGAUAGGGAUUCAGUGUUGAGCAGCAAUGGUGACAGCAGUACCAGCAUUCAAAUAUAUUUUACAUGUAGAAAGAAUCAGUAUUCUCACUGAACUGACACCGUCGCAUCAUUUUGGAUAUGAUUCUGUUCACUAGUAAGUGG